AGUGGCAGACGGGUGAGUACAUGUAGGUAUCUGCCCUUUGGCCUGGAAUAACACGAGGAAACUUGUGCUAAUACCGGAUAAGUCUUUACGGAGAAAGCUUUAUGCACCAUUGGAUGAGCCUGCACUUGAUUAGUUUGUUGGUGGGGUAAUGGCCUACCAAGACUGUGAUCAAUAGCUGAUUUGAGAGGAUGAUCAGCCACAUUGGGACUGAGACACGGCCCAAACUCCUACGGGAGGCAGCAGUGGGGAAUCUUGCACAAUGGAGGAAACUCUGAUGCAGCGAUGCCGCGUGAGUGAAGAAGGCCUUUGGGUUGUAAAGCUCUUUCGUCGGGGAAGAAAAUGACUGUACCCGAAUAAGAAGGUCCGGCUAACUUCGUGCCAGCAGCCGCGGUAAUACGAAGGGACCUAGCGUAGUUCGGAAUUACUGGGCUUAAAGAGUUCGUAGGUGGUUGAAAAAGUUGCUGGUGAAAUCCCAGAGCUUAACUCUGGAACUGCCAUCAAAACUUUUCAGCUAGAGUAUGAUAGAGGAAAGCAGAAUUUCUAGUGUAGAGGUGAAAUUCGUAGAUAUUAGAAAGAAUACCAAUUGCGAAGGCAGCUUUCUGGAUCAUUACUGACACUGAGGAACGAAAGCAUGGGUAGCGAAGAGGAUUAGAUACCCUCGUAGUCCAUGCCGUAAACGAUGUGUGUUAGACGUUGGAAAUUUAUUUUCAGUGUCGCAGCGAAAGCGAUAAGCACACCGCCUGGGGAGUAC
rnacentral:rRNA from 1 species